rnacentral:misc_RNA from 1 species
GAUGAAGAACGUAGCGAAAUGCGAUACGUAAUGUGAAUUGCAGAAUUCAGUGAAUCAUCGAAUCUUUGAACGCAUAUUGCGCUCUCUGGUAUUCCGGAGAGCAUGCUUGUUUGAGUAUCAGUAAACACCUCAACUCCCUUUUCUUUUUUGAAAUUGGAGCUGGACUUGAGUGAUCCCAACGCUUUCUUCCAAGAAAGUGGCGGGUUGCUUGAAAUGCAGGUGCAGCUGAACUUUUCUCUAAGCUAUAAGCAUAUCUAUUUAGUCUGCCUAAAAAACAGAUUAUUACCUUUGCUGCAGCUAACAUAAAGGAGACUAGUUCUUGUGCUGACUGAUGCAGGAUUCACAGAGACAGCUUCGGCUGACUUUGUAAACUCGAUCUCAAAUCAAGUAAGACUACCCGCUGAACUUAAGCAUAUCAAUAAGCGGAGGA